rnacentral:rRNA from 1 species
AGUGAACGCUGGCGAUAGGCCUAACACAUGCAAGUCGAACGGCAGCACAGUAAGAGCUUGCUCUUACGGGUGGCGAGUGGCGGACGGGUGAGGAAUACAUCGGAAUCUACUUUUUCGUGGGGGAUAACGUAGGGAAACUUACGCUAAUACCGCAUACGACCUACGGGUGAAAGCAGGGGAUCUUCGGACCUUGCGCGAUUGAAUGAGCCGAUGUCGGAUUAGCUAGUUGGCGGGGUAAAGGCCCACCAAGGCGACGAUCCGUAGCUGGUCUGAGAGGAUGAUCAGCCACACUGGAACUGAGACACGGUCCAGACUCCUACGGGAGGCAGCAGUGGGGAAUAUUGGACAAUGGGCGCAAGCCUGAUCCAGCCAUACCGCGUGGGUGAAGAAGGCCUUCGGGUUGUAAAGCCCUUUUGUUGGGAAGGAAAAGCAGCAGGUUAAUACCCCGCUGUUCUGACGGUACCCAAAGAAUAAGCACCGGCUAACUUCGUG